rnacentral:rRNA from 1 species
ACUCAAAGGAAUUGACGGGGACCCGCACAAGCGGUGGAGCGUGUUGUUUAAUUCGACGGUAAGCGAAGAACCUUACCAGGGUUUGACAUCCUUGGAAUUUCUCCGAAAGGAGAAAGUGCCUUCGGGAGCCGAGUGACAGGUGUUGCAUGGCCGUCGUCAGCUCGUGUCGUGAGAUGUUUGGUUAAGUCCAUCAACGAGCGCAACCCUUAUAGUUAGUUGGAUUUUUCUAGCUAGACUGCCCCGGUAACGGGGAGGAAGGAGGGGAUGAUGUCAGGUCUGUAUUACCCUUACACCCUGGGCCACAAACACGCUACAAUGGCCGGUACAAAGGGCCGCUAAGCAGCAAUGCGGAGCAAAUCCCAUCAAAGCCGGUCUCAGUUCGGAUUGGGGGCUGAAACCCGCCCCCAUGAAGCUGGAAUCGCUAGUAACGGUAGGUCAGCACACUACCGUGAAUACGUUCCCGGGUCUUGUACACACCGCCCGU